AGAGUUUGAUCCUGGCUCAGAACGAACGCUGGCGGCGUGGAUAAGACAUGCAAGUCGAACGAGAGAAUUGCUAGCUUGCUAAUAAUUCUCUAGUGGCGCACGGGUGAGUAACACGUGAGUAACCUGCCCCCGAGAGCGGGAUAGCCCUGGGAAACUGGGAUUAAUACCGCAUAGUAUCGAAAGAUUAAAGCAGCAAUGCGCUUGGGGAUGGGCUCGCGGCCUAUUAGUUAGUUGGUGAGGUAACGGCUCACCAAGGCGAUGACGGGUAGCCGGUCUGAGAGGAUGUCCGGCCACACUGGUACUGAGACACGGUCCAGACACCUACGGGUGGCAGCAGUCGAGAAUCAUUCACAAUGGGGGAAACCCUGAUGGUGUGACGCCGCGUGGGGGAAUGAAGGUCUUCGGAUUGUAAACCCCUGUCAUGUGGGAGCAAAUUAAAAAGAUAGUACCACAAGAGGAAGAGACGGCUAACUCUGUGCCAGCAGCCGCGGUAAUACAGAGGUCUCAAGCGUUGUUCGGAAUCACUGGGCGUAAAGCGUGCGUAGGCUGUUUCGUAAGUCGUGUGUGAAAGGCGCGGGCUCAACCCGCGGACGGCACAUGAUACUGCGAGACUAGAGUAAUGGAGGGGGAACCGGAAUUCUCGGUGUAGCAGUGAAAUGCGUAGAUAUCGAGAGGAACACUCGUGGCGAAGGCGGGUUCCUGGACAUUAACUGACGCUGAGGCACGAAGGCCAGGGGAGCGAAAGGGAUUAGAUACCCCUGUAGUCCUGGCAGUAAACGGUGCACGCUUGGUGUGCGGGGAAUCGACCCCCUGCGUGCCGGAGCUAACGCGUUAAGCGUGCCGCCUGGGGAGUACGGUCGCAAGAUUAAAACUCAAAGAAAUUGACGGGGACCCGCACAAGCGGUGGAGUAUGUGGCUUAAUUCGAUGCAACGCGAAGAACCUUACCUGGGCUUGACAUGUAAUGAACAACAUGUGAAAGCAUGCGACUCUUCGGAGGCGUUACACAGGUGCUGCAUGGCCGUCGUCAGCUCGUGUCGUGAGAUGUUUGGUUAAGUCCAGCAACGAGCGCAACCCCUGUUGCCAGUUACCAGCACGUGAAGGUGGGGACUCUGGCGAGACUGCCCAGAUCAACUGGGAGGAAGGUGGGGACGACGUCAGGUCAGUAUGGCCCUUAUGCCCAGGGCUGCACACGUACUACAAUGCCCAGUACAGAGGGGGCCGAAGCCGCGAGGCGGAGGAAAUCCUGAAAACUGGGCCCAGUUCGGACUGUAGGCUGCAACCCGCCUACACGAAGCCGGAAUCGCUAGUAAUGGCGCAUCAGCUACGGCGCCGUGAAUACGUUCCCGGGUCUUGCACACACCGCCCGUCA
rnacentral:rRNA from 1 species